ACCAUCCGCGCGCUUUCAGGUGGCGCGACGACGUUUGGACGUCCGAACGCUUAAACGGGAAGCCGGUGGAAAUCCCGGCACUGCCCCCGCAACGGUGAACGAGUCAAACGCGGCAUUACGCCACUGGAUCAAUCCGGGAAGGCGCCGCGCCGGAGCAAGCCUCCACUCGUGAGUCCGGAGACCGGCCUGCAGCGGUCAGGCUCG
rnacentral:ncRNA from 2 species